rnacentral:rRNA from 1 species
GACCUCAAAUCAGGUAGGACUACCCGCUGAACUUAAGCAUAUCAAUAAGCGGAGGAAAAGAAACUAACAAGGAUUCCCCUAGUAACUGCGAGUGAAGAGGGAAAAGCUCAAAUUUAAAAUCUGUCAGUCUUUGGCUGACCGAGUUGUAAAUUAGAGAAGUGCUAUCUGCGCUGGCCUGUGCAAAAGUCUCUUGGAAAAGAGCGUCAUAGAGGGUGACAAUCCCGUCUUUGGUACAGAGCUCCAGGGCUUCAUGAUGUGCUCUCAAUGAGUCGAGUUGUUUGGGAAUGCAGCUCUAAAUGGGUGGUAAAUUCCAUCUAAAGCUAAAUAUUGGCGAGAAACCGAUAGCGCACAAGUACCGUGAGGGAAAGAUGAAAAGAACUUUGAAAAGAGAGUUAAACAGUACGUGAAAUUGUUGAAAGGGAAACGCUUGAAGUCAG